AAGUGCACAUGGUGGAUGCCUUGGCGAUAUCAGGCGAUGAAGGACGUAGUAGCUUGCGAUAAGCUGCGGGGAGUGAGCAAACACACAUUGAUCCGCAGAUUUCCGAAUGGGGAAACCCGGCCGUAAGGUCAUUGCAUACUGAAUACAU
rnacentral:rRNA from 1 species